rnacentral:rRNA from 1 species
AGAAUCAACGCUGGCGGCGUGCCUAACACAUGCAAGUCGAACGAGAAAGUGGAGCAAUCCAUAAGUAAAGUGGCGCACGGGUGAGUAACACGUGACUAACCUACCCUUGAGUGGGGAUAACUGAGGGAACCUUAGCUAAUACCGCAUAAUACCUACGGGUCAAAGGAGCAAUUCGCUUAAGGAGGGGUCGCGGCAGAUUAGCUAGUUGGCGGGGUAAUGGCCCACCAAGGCAGUGAUCUGUA